UCUUCACUCUCGCCCUGUGUUGUGAUCGUUCGAAACUCAUUGCCAGAACGAAUGCAAAUUUCAUUUGGGAAGGAUCGGUGCCGGAAGAUGCAGCGAAAAUCAUUAAAUGUUAAUAGAAAAGUGGUUAAGUAAAUCGUGAAAGAUGUCAACACAGGCGUAAAUGCAGUUUGUUUUGUUACAUGAUCUACGGCUAUUUCAUUACCAAAGCUCCUGAUAACAGAUCAAAGCAGAUGGAUCGAGCAUACAGAGUCGCCGUUUAACUUAAAAUAUCUUCGUGAUCGGUAAACACAUCAAACAGCAAGUGUUUUUCUUCCAACAGCACGCACCAUCGGUGGAUCAAGCAGCUAAUGAUUUGUUCGCCCAGCACGCACCAUCAAGAAUUGAAAUAUUCCCGAAUAGCUUUGUGAAUAAAAAACUGCACACUUAUGUAGAGUUGAGUACCAGAAGAACUCAGGAGUGUAGAAUGAUCGUGAGCGAUAUGAGAGACUGAGGCAGACGAGAGAGGAGAAAUGAGAGCGGAAGGAGAGAUGGAACUGAUGUUGAACGGCAGAAGUGAACGAAUGGUCCCAACGGUCACCAGCACUCAGAGAUCCGCUGAGAUUGAAGCUGACUUUGAAGCUGAGUUGGCGAAACGUCUCAGCCUCCGAAGUAACCCGAAGCCGAAGCGAACCCGAACGGAGUUCGGUACGAACCAUCGUUUAAUUAGCCCCCUCCCCCUUUUUGCCCCUUUUCUUUCUAAAACGAUCCAGUGCACACCAUUAUACUAAGUUAAUUCGAUUUAUUGAAUAUCGAACCAACAUAGAAUACAAAGAAAACACAACACUUGCUCAAUAAUCACUGCACUUAAUCCUAAAUUAACGCACAUAAUUUAAAAAAAACACUUUUUACAGUCGCACUGAGCAAAAAAUAACAAAUUCAGCACAGCACUUUCUGCUCCUCAUCGCUGUUGCUCCUGGUUUUUCUCGCUGCACUGUACGGGCCACCUGCUCCAACACUACGACACAGCCACAGGUUUUGUUGUCUCCGUUCGCCGUGAAACACACAUGAAAUGGAAGAAAAAUGUUAUUAAUUAGAAGGGGGGAUAUUGGUUGAUCAUUUUAAUCACUUUUACUUACCUCAAAUAAAACAAAUCUCCAUUUUUCACGGGGUUUAUCCGCCGACUACCAAGCGCAGAAACAGUACACAAGCACCAACCUCACUGGACUGAACGUAAAGCCUACUGCGUUAAUGUGUGUAUGCGCUUCUGCCAAGCCAGCCGCGCCGUACUGCGUGUGUAGCCAAGUGCGUGUGUGUGUAUAUUUGCACCACUGGACACAGAACACAAAUCUCACCGCACAGCAGAGCGUAUGUCGCCAAGUGUGUGCAUGUGUGUAUUUGCACCACCGAAUUCUGAACGUCCACCGCACCGCACCAAACAGCGUGUAUCGCCAAGUGCGUGGUUGUGUGUAGUAUCACCGUGGACUGCAGAAAACUACCUGCACUAGAACAGAGCGCUGGUGUGGCCAAAUGUGUGCAUGUGUGUACUUGCUCCACUGAAAGCCGGUAUCGCACCAGAUUUCGGGUGUCGCCUUGUGCGCGCGUGUGUGUUAUUCUCACAGCACACUCGUUCAUAAUUUUUUUCGUUUUUUCGCUUGAGCCACUCGAUUUCGUUCUUCGCUGAUUUUGGCAGCGCACGAAGGGGGUUCGGUUUCAACUUCCAACAACAACAACCACACGAGGGAGCUCGUGGAUACUCACGAAGGGAAAAUCACUCAAAUUAGAGCGAGAGACAGAUAGAAAAAACGAAAGGUCAAUAUAAAAUCUUCGGCUUUUGACCGUUGUGGUGCGAGCGAACGGACGUAUAUACGCAUAUAACCACUGAAGUGAAAUAAA